UCAUUAGUUUCUUUGACGUCCUCAAUAACGUAUUAAUACUGCAACAAAAACGGUCUAUAGCGAUAUUUUUAAAUGUCAGUACAGGUCAAAGAAAGUACUGCUGGCUAAAUUACUGAUAUUUUUAAAAAGUAUUGUUAUAUGUGGGGUUGCUAGGUAUAUAGUGACAGUUAAAGAGUGUCGUUAUAACCUAAAAAAGUGCUGCUAAUUUACCAAUACUUAUUUAAACAUUUAGCAACCGUCAGAACUCUAACUCGUUGGCUGCGAUGGCGGAGGAGAACGAGAAGAAGGGAUCUUCGUCUAGGAUUUCAGUCGAUUGAGUGAGGGGAGAAUAGAAAAUGGUAAUCGAUUUUUUUUUUUUUUCUUUUCUAUUUGUAAUCGAGCUGAAUGGGCUGGGUGGGGUGGGUUGAGUAGAGUAACCUUUUAUUUUUGGUUGGAUUAGACUUUAUAUUUAGGUAUUAGUAGAUUUUUUUUUAAGUUUUGAUAUAAAUGGUACACUUACACAAAAGUGUCCCAAACAUGUGUUCCUAUAAUCUAAUUCUGUUGUAGUGUAAUUGUGUAGAAAACUUAUAAAUGUUUUUGACUUAGAAAUAUCUUCGAUUACAUCUUUAAUUACAAGGGGAAAAAAAGUAUGCAAAGUAUCCAAAUUAGAAUGUGAGUAAUUUCCAUUAGAUGUAGGACUUUGAUAUCCAUGUCACAUUCAAAUUCUCCACGUUUUUAUGUCUCUUUCUUGAUGUUAAUAUUUUGACUUUUUACAAAUAUAUAUAGAUUAUGAUAAGGUACAUGAUCUUUUAAUUCAUUAGGUCAUUAAAUUAAUGAUUUGAAAGAGGGAUGCAAAUUAAAUAAAUCAAAUAUAAAAGGAUACAAAUAUUACGCGUAAAAUAGAAAUUAAUGCGAACAAACAAUACAUAAAAGAACCACUAAAAUAUAUUGUUUGCUACGCUAAUUAAUCACUUGCCAAGGGUAUAUAUAUAUAUAUAUAUAUAUAUAUAUAUAUAUAUUUAUAUAUUAUAUAUAUAAUAUAUAUUGUGUAGGGGGUGUUUAGUUAUAUGUAAAAUUUGUAAAAAGUAAUUUUUUAUGGAAAAAAUUCGGUCGAAAUUUUUUUUUUACAUUUUAUAUGUUUUAUAGUUUGUAGAAAAAUAAAUAAUUUUUCAUAUUGAAAAAAAAUUCAUAUUUAUUUAGUUUGUGAAAAAAAAAGAAAAGAAUUUUACACAGCUUUAGUUUUUUUAUUUUUUGCUGAACAUCGGUAAAAACAAAACACUCCAUUUUAUGCCGAAAACAGAAAAUAAAACACCUUCUUUUUUUUCAAAUCUGGAAAAAAACUUUUCAAAAAAAUUUUUAUGGCUAAACAAACACAAAAAAAAAAAAAAAAAAAGCUGAAAACUAUUUCGGUUCGGAAAGAUAAUUUUCGUUUGUUUGAUACGAUGUAAAAUAGUAUUUUUUUAAGGGAUAAUUACCUGUAUACCCCUCAAAACUUCAGAAAUAUCUCAUUUAUCCUUACUUUUGUUUUCUUUCCAAUAUACCCAUAUGUUUCUCUGUUAUUCCAAAAUAUUCCUACAGUUACCACCGUUAAGUUAACUUCGAUUAAACGGGAGUUAAAUAUCUACUUGAGUUAAAAAAAAAAAAAUUUAAAAUUCCUCUUUUAUCGUUAACUUAAGGACAAAUAAGAAAUGUUGGUAAUGAUAGAAGGGUAUAUUUGAAAAGACUAAAAAUCAAAAUAUUUUUUGUACUCCUAACUUAAGGGUAUAAAUAAGAAAAACGGGUGAUGAUGAAAGGGUAUAUAUAUUUGAAAGCGCAAAAUAAUAAUUUCUUACAAAUAACAACUAUCGCUAACCGUUCAUUAAGGAAAUUUAAUUCUGUGGUAUAUUUAAAAUAGUUGGAACGUAAAAAAAAUAUUUUUAAUAUUAGCUAUCUAAGAAGGAUAAAUCAGAAAGUCAGAAAUUUUUCAGAAGUAUAUAAGCAAUGGCCCAUUUCUUAGAAGUAGUUUUGCGGAUUUGAAAAUAUAUAUAUAUAUAUAUAGAUUUUGAAAACGUCUUGGUAAAAAAAAUCACGGCUUAUGAGAAUAACUCGCACGCGGUCCAUAAAGUGACAAUGACGUGGCGGCUCGCGGACUACGUGAGAGAGAUGUGUGUGGACCUAGAUCUCUCGCUCUCUCUUAUGGAUCACUAUUAUAUAAUAUUUUAUUACAUAUUUAUUAUAUAAUAUUAGAUAUAUGGCUAAAUAACAGAAAAUUUUCUUAUCAAUACCCUCUUUUUCACUUUCCCCCGUCAUUCAAAAACAUACACUUUGCCUUUUUGAAAAAUAAGAAAUGUUCACUUUGACCCCUCCGCCGUUAGUAUUCCGUUUAUAUCUUAUUAUUAUAUAUUUUUAUAUCUAAAAUACCUUCUUCUUUCUGUUGUCUCUUUCCUCGCCGCCCUACACCGCCGCCUCGCCCUUGCCCACCCCUCCAUUCGCGUCCACACACAUGCUUUCGUGCUCUUUCGCCGCCUCACCCUCGCCCUCGCACCCCUCUCCAUCCAUGCCCACUUCAAUCUCCUUCCUAUCGUCGCCGAAAUAGAGGGGCAACACCAGAGCAGGAAGAGCGGGGGAGCAUGUGGAGGAAAAUGGAGUUCUCAUUUUUCAAGGGGGCAAAGUGUAGGUUUUUAAUUAAAUGACAGGGGGAAAGUGAAAAAGCGAGUAUUGAUAUGGGGGUUUUCUGAAAUUUAUGCUAUAUACGAUUAUAUAUUAUUACAUACCUUACAAUAUAUUUUUAUAUAUGUUUAAUUCAUAAUAUAAAUUACGAUAAUACUGUAUAUAUAGAGAGAGAGAGAAUCGGGCUACUAUACUCUUAUGAGUACGAUCAUUUUCGUAAUCGUUUACGAUAAUAGAGCUUUCGAAUUUACGAUCUAUACCGCUAAACGUUAUCUAGAGUAUUUAAAAUUUUUAGAAAUUAAAUUUUAUAAUUUUUCGACAUCAUUUAUCUUGCGAUAAAAAAGUUACAAAAAUUGAUAAUUUUUAACGGCCAGUAUGAGAUACUUACAAGUUUAAUGGUGCAAAAGAAUCGGAAACAGUUUAAAUUUUUAAUAAAAAAUUCUAUUCACUGCCUAGAUAAAGAUCAAUAACUUCGAUCUUAAAUUAAAGAAUUAGAUCAUCUAUUUUUAGAACGUCAUUCGAUUUUGACUGUUUAUUUUAUUCUCGCUUGAUGGUUUUUAUUAUGAUUUAAAAAAAUUACAAAAUUUAUUAUUUAGAAGUUUCAAAUACUCUACAUCAUAUCUAAUAGAGUGGUUUCGAAAACUCCACCAUUGAAGAAAACAACUUAUAAAUACGAAGGAUUCUAUACUCAUAUAAGAGUAUAGUAGUCUUACUCUCUCUCUCUCUAUAUAUAUAUAGUAUGAUAAUAAUUAUAUAUAAAUAAUAUUCAAUACAUACAACAAAAGAGAAAUAUAUAAAACAGUUUCUCAUUCAUUUUUCCUUUUGAUUAAUUAAACAAGUAUAGCUCGAAAAUUAUAUAUACUUUUUCUAAAAACCAAAUGUUAAAGAGCGUAAACUUAUUUUUCACCAAAAUUUUUUAUCACUAAAUUUUUUUUUUAUAAUUUUGUAUAAAACCAAACAGCCGCAAUUGCACAAAUCUUUUGGAGUGUAAAUCGUAUAUCUCCACCAUCUAGAUUUAAGUUUUUUCGUGAGUCACAUCAAUGUGACUAGGGAGAUUAUUAAUCCUUUUCCUAGAAUUGGUAGGUUAUAUAAUUUAUACUCGUUUUGGAUUGUAUAGAUUAGUAUUCUUAUUUAAAAUAUAUAUACUUGUAUGCUAUAUGUACACCCCUAUGCAUAUAUAUUUUAGUGAAAAUACUAGUGCAUGAAUAUAAGGGACAAAAAUUAUGUGAAAAGCUAACCAAAUUAGUUUGUUUGGGGCCGCUCAAAAAUUGGAUUCGUGAGAAAUUGUUCUGUGCACCUGGUGCACCAUUAUUAUUCUUAAAAUCUAGGAUUUUAGGAAUUUAGGAUUUAAAUAUUAUAAAAUAUAUAUUAAUUUUAUUAACUUGUAAUUAAAAAAAAAAAAAUCUUAAACUUCAGGAUUUAGGGGUUUAGAGUGAAAGAUGUAGAAUAAAAAUAUUACAUAAUAUAUCGCUAUAUUAAAUUACAAUUUUGAUGGGCGUGGCGUAGCUAGGGUGCCACAUGGCGUCCAUCCAGGCGAUUCCAAACAAAAUGUUUUGGGACUGCUCCUCAGAAAAUUUGCAUAUUCAACACUGCGUUUCACGUCGGGAUUCGAAACAUUUUUUUGAUAGAUACAGGACGUGAAUGUAAUUAAAAAAAAAAUAGAAGUCCGGCGACACUGCAGCAAAAACGGUCUAUAGCGACACUUUUAAAUAUAGGUACAUGUCAAAAAAGUGCUGCUAGCUAAAAUUACCGACACUUUUAAAAAUUGUUGCUAUAUGUGGGGUCGUUAGGUAUAUAGUGACAGUUAAAGAGUGUCGCUAUAACCUAAAAGAGUGAUGCUAAUUUACCAAUAACUUAUUUAAGCAUUUAGCAAGCGCCGAAACUCUAUCUCGUUGGCUGCGGUGGCGGAGGAGGACGACAGGAAUGGCUCUUCGUCUAGAAUUUCAGUGGAUUUAGUGAAGAGAGAAGAAAAUAUGGUAAUUGAUUUUUCUUUUUUUUUUUCUUUUCUGUUUGUAAUCGGGCCAAAUGGACUGGGUGUGGUGGGUUGAGUAGAGUAAUCUUUUAUUUUUGGUUGGAUUGGGCUUUAUAUUUAGGUAUUAGUAGAUAUUUUUUUAAGUUUUAGUAUAAAUAGGACACUUACUCAAAAGUGUCCCAAACAUGUGUUUCUAUAACCUAAUUCUGUUGUAGUGCGAAAUUCAAAC
rnacentral:lncRNA from 1 species